rnacentral:rRNA from 1 species
GACGAACGCUGGCGGCGUGCUUAACACAUGCAAGUCGAACGGAAAGGCCCUGCUUUUGUGGGGUGCUCGAGUGGCGAACGGGUGAGUAACACGUGAGUAACCUGCCCUUGACUUUGGGAUAACUUCAGGAAACUGGGGCUAAUACCGGAUAGGAGCUCCUGCUGCAUGGUGGGGGUUGGAAAGUUUCGGCGGUUGGGGAUGGACUCGCGGCUUAUCAGCUUGUUGGUGGGGUAGUGGCUUACCAAGGCUUUGACGGGUAGCCGGCCUGAGAGGGUGACCGGCCACAUUGGGACUGUGUUACGGCCCAGACUCCUACGGGAGGCAGCAGUGGGGAAUAUAGCACAAUGGGCGGAAGCCUGAUGAAGCAACGCCGCGUGCGGGAUAACGGCCUUCGGGUUGUAAACCGCUUUCGCCUGUGACGAAGCGUGAGUGACGGUAAUGGGUAAAGAAGCACCGGCUAACUACGUG